GACGAACGCUGGCGGCGUGCUUAACACAUGCAAGUCGAACGGAAAGGCCCUGCUUUUGUGGGGUGCUCGAGUGGCGAACGGGUGAGUAACACGUGAGUAACCUGCCCUUGACUUUGGGAUAACUUCAGGAAACUGGGGCUAAUACCGGAUAGGAGCUCCUGCUGCAUGGUGGGGGUUGGAAAGUUUCGGCGGUUGGGGAUGGACUCGCGGCUUAUGAGCUUGUUGGUGGGGUAGUGGCUUACCAAGGCUUUGACGGGUAGCCGGCCUGAGAGGGUGACCGGCCACAUUGGGACUGAGAUACGGCCCAGAAUCCUACGGGAGGCAGCAGUGGGGAAUAUGGCACAAUGGGCGGAAGCCUGAUGCAGCAACGCCGCGUGCGGGAUGACGGCCUUCGGGUUGUAAACCGCUUUCGCCUGUGACGAAGCGUGAGUGACGGUAAUGGGUAAAGAAGCACCGGCUAACUACGUG
rnacentral:rRNA from 1 species